CCUACGGGAGGCAGCAGUGAGGAAUAUUGGUCAAUGGGCGCGAGCCUGAACCAGCCAAGUAGCGUGAAGGAUGACUGCCCUACGGGUUGUAAACUUCUUUUAUAAAGGAAUAAAGUGAGGCACGUGUGCCUUUUUGUAUGUACUUUAUGAAUAAGGAUCGGCUAACUCCGUGCCAGCAGCCGCGGUAAUACGGAGGAUCCGAGCGUUAUCCGGAUUUAUUGGGUUUAAAGGGAGCGUAGGGGGGGUUGUAAGUCGGGUGUAAAAACUGCCGGCUCAACGGGUAGUCGCACUUAAAACUGCAGGUCUUGAGUGAAGUAGAGGCAGGCGGAAUUCGUGGUGUAGCGGUGAAAUGCGUAGAUAUUAGGAGGAACUCCGGUGGCGAAGGCGGCCUACUAGGCUUUUACUGACGCUGAGGCUCGAAAGUGUGGGGAGCAAACAGGAUUAGAUACCCCAGUAGUC
rnacentral:rRNA from 1 species